rnacentral:other from 1 species
CAUCUCCUGCGGUGUUCGCCAGUGGGCCGAGUUAUCCCUUGAGCCUAUGCGAUAUAUGCCGGGGGUCGAUCAAGCGUACCGGUGUGCAUGUCCGCCUCGUAGCGGAAAGCCUGAUGGAACCCUUAUCGACGCCCACUUGAACCUCACGGUUCAAGGUCAACGGCCGGCAGCGGCGCAUGUGGGGGAUGU